UACAGAGGGGGCAAGCGUUGUUCGGAAUUACUGGGCGUAAAGGGCGCGUAGGCGGCCCGCUAAGUCGAACGUGAAAUCCCCGAGCUCAACUCGGGAACUGCGUCCGAUACUGGUGGGCUUGAAUCCGGGAGAGGGAUGCGGAAUUCCAGGUGUAGCGGUGAAAUGCGUAGAUAUCUGGAGGAACACCGGUGGCGAAGGCGGCAUCCUGGACCGGCAUUGACGCUGAGGAGCGAAAGCUAGGGGAGCAAACGGG
rnacentral:rRNA from 1 species